rnacentral:rRNA from 1 species
UACAGGGGGGGCAAGCGUUGUUCGGAAUUACUGGGCGUAAAGGGUUCGUAGGUGGCCUGCUAAGUCACACGUGAAAUCCCUCAGCUUAACUGGGGAACUGCGUGUGAGACUGGCGGGCUUGAGUGCAGGAGAGGAACGCGGAAUUCCAGGUGUAGCGGUGAAAUGCGUAGAUAUCUGGAGGAACACCGGUGGCGAAGGCGGCGUUCUGGACUGCUACUGACACUGAGGAACGAAAGCCAAGGGAGCAAACGGG